CUUUAUUUUAAGGGGCCGCAAACAUGUAAGUAUAUUGUUAAGUUCUUUCCAUUAAUAUUUUUUUUACUUUCACAUUUAAGAUAUAUCAUAAGGUUAUACCCUUUUUGUGGUAAGUCUGCACAAGAUCAGAACGCUUGUUUGGUAUGUU